GCCCACUUGCAUUCUACCUAAAUAGCUGACCCAAUUCUUUAUUGUUAUUACAUAUAAAUACACGAGCAGGGUUUUCUAAAUCCAUUAAAUCUCUGCCACUUCAACCCUAGAACAUCUGAAAAAUGAUCUCUCCCAUUGCUGAAUCAAAGCUUCAUCAAGUAUCUGCUGUGGAUCAUCAACACCUUGCUAUGGAGACGCAUUGCAACUGCUCAUUUCAGCUAUCAGAAGAUUCGAGGUCCCUGGAAAGUAUUUCAGAUCCAAUUAUGGCUGGUAAAGAGAUAAUGGGAUGGUCGGAACAACAAGUAAUUAGACUAUAAUGUAGUUCUUACGUGUAAGAAUUGCAAAAAUCUCCCAAGUCCCUCCCCUUUUAUUGGGAGUCCUUUUUGAUGGCUGAUAUAGUUUAGGCUAGCAAACUUUUUCACCCUUUUUGUUGCCCAUACGGUUGUAAAUAGUUGCAUGUGAAAAAUGAACUCUUUAAGUUGUAGCCUUUUCAGCCUUGUCACUCUCUUGUUGUUGUAAGUCUUAUGUAAGGACAUUAAAGUUUAUCAUUGUUAAGUAUCUUUCUACCUGUAACUUCUAAUUACUGAAACCUUGUAAUUAUGAAAUCCCCCUUAUCAAUGGCAAGAGUAGUUAAAUAAUCUGCCAAUUGAUUUUCCUCUCUCAUAAUAUAUUGGUACUGAACUUACUUUUUAAUAUUGCCCAAAUGUGCUCAACAAUAUUCCAUGGACAUGACCACUCUCUUUUCAAUAUUUUCAGCAUAAGGAGAGAGUCAGUCUGAAUUAUGACCUUAUUGUGCUGUGUAGAACCACAAUGUAUAGCUGUCUAUAGAAUAGCAUAUGUCUUAGUCUCUAUAUUGGAAGCAUCUUUUAUCAUAGCUCCUUGUGCAUACAUUAGAUCACUCUGUUCAUUCCUUAGACAAAAAGCAUAGGAACUAACACCCGGAUUACCUCUAGAAGCUUCAUCUGUAUUAUAUUUAAUCCAACCUUCCUCAGGGAACUUCCAAUUUACUUUGGUAAUCUUCGCCCUUUCUUUUCUACUCUCCAAUUCCUUCAGUAUCUCAGGCCAAGAAUUUGGAAAUUCUUGUCUUGGGUUUCUGACUUUGAGUCAUAAUCCAAUAUUUCUAGUGAUAUUCAGUAUUACUCUAUGAGUUUACAAAGUUUUUCCUUCAUGUUUUAAGCUAUUUCUUUUUUUUCACAGUUUCAGAUAAUCAUACUAGGAAUAGAUUGGAAAUAAGAUCUAGAUCUCCCUCUUACUUCUGCAUUCUAUCAAGCCAAUAUAGUUUCCCUUAAGGACAGUCCAUCUAUUGUAAUACCUGCAAAAGAAGAAAAGUAGGACCAUGUCCUGUUAGCAAUUUGUGAUCUGAGAAACACAUGUGAUAUGGUUUCUUGAUCAGGAGUAGUGCAACACCAACCUCUAGAAGGACCUUCAAUUCCACAUCUUCUUAUAUUAUCAUCCACAAGAACUUUUCCCUUCCAUAUUCUCCACAUCAGAAAAGCCAUUUUAAAUGGUAACCCUUUUAUCCGUAUUUCCUUGAAAAUCCAGCUUUUUUCCUCUCUUUGUCUAAUAUAAUGCCAUGCUGACCUAACUGUAAAUCUUCCUAUUGAUUCAAGCAUCCAAAUAGGACAAUCACUUCCAUCUGAAUUGACUGGGGGCCUAAUUUUAUUCAUAAUAUGAGUAGCAACUUCUUGAGGAAAUAGCUGUGCAAGCAGCUACUCAUUCCAUGCUUCAUCCUUGAAUAAAUCCCUAACCCUUUGAUACCUUUCAUCCCAUUCUCUACUAUUCUGAAUGAUGGUAUAUAAAUCUCCAGCAGUAGUCCAAUUAUCAAACCAAAUACUUGCAUUCCCUUCAUUGAUUCUCCGUAGUAUUUGAUGCUCUAUUAUAUCUCUAGCUUGCAAUAUUUUUUCCAAACCUGAGAGCCUGUUCCUGUCUUCCAUAUUACCUCAUUUGGAUGCUUCUUCUUGCAAUAUUUAUUAUGCCUAUACUUACUCCAUAUGGACCUUUUAUCUCUAAAAUUUCACCAUAGUUUUCAGAACAGAGCCAUAGACACAUCCUGAACCCUUCUUAAUCCAAGUCCACCUUUAUUCUCUGGUAAACAUAAGGAAUUCCACCUCAUCCAAUGUCUGCUCCUCCCUCCUAUAUGAUUACUCCAAAAAAAAAUUAAGCAUAUAUCUUUUGAAUUAUGUUCAAGACAUUCACUGAAGGGUUCAUAACUAAAAGACAGUGAAUGGGAAUACUUUACUGAACAUGAUUGAUAAGGACAACUCUUCCCCCAUAGGACAAUAACUUUUCUUUCCAUCCUUGUAACUUACUACUAAUUUUGCUCAUGAUGGAUUGAUAAUAAUAUUUUUUCUUCCUCAUAUUAAAAAUAGGGCAUCCAAGAUAAGUAAAAGGAAAAACCUUCCUUAGAAUCCCUGUAGCAACUUCUGCAAGUAAAUGACACUUUUUUCUUUGGUAAUCUUUUGACCCGAAACCCUUUCAUACCUCUCCAAAGUAGAUGUCACUUUCUACAGAGUAGCUAACUCAACUUUACAUAAUAUAAUCAUAUCACUUGGACUAACUCUUGGCAUCCUAAAUAACUUAAAAUCUUUAUUAAGAUUCAAAGAUUUUAAGGCUCUAGAUCCCACUUUAGUAGCCAAAAUAAAAAAAGUAGGUGAUAAGGGAUCUCCCUGUUUUAACCCUCUAUAGGAUCUAAGGAAUCCUUUAGGCUGGCCAUUUAACAAUAUGGAGUACCAAUUAUUUCCCACCAAUCUAUACACCAUAUCAAUAAUUAUCUUACUAAACCCAACUUUUCUCAACACUUUAGUGAGGAAUAACUAAUCCACCCUAUCAUAAGCCUUUAUCAUAUCAAGUUUAAUAACUACAUUAGGGAUGUUACCUAUUUUUCUAAUGUUUGAAAUGAAUUUCUUGCACCACCAGUAUAUUUUUGGCAAUGCUUCUCCCUUGAACAAAACUAGUUUGUUCUUCAGAUAUGAUCUCUGGCAACAACUUCUUUAUCCUCUCAUGAAUAAUUCUAGAGAAGAUUUUGUUUACAAAAUUACUUAGAGAGAUAGGCCUUAAAUCAGAAAAAGUAUUCACCACUAACUUUUUAGGCAGGAGAAACAAAUUUGUAUAUGUAACAAAUUUUGGUAAUUCAUACCCAUGAAAGAAAGCUACCUCUAUUUGAGAAACAUCUUUCCUAUAAUAUCCUACGCAUCCUGGAAAAGGGCUCCUGACAUACCAUUCAGACCUACUGUACUAUUCCUAUUCAACCCCAUAACAACUUUCUUAACCUCUUGUACAUCAGGUAUUUUAUUCAACUCUUCAUUCUGUCUAUCAUUCACAAUUCUUGGUAAUUCAUCCAACAUAUGAAAAUCUACAAUUUUAUCCUCUUUUGAGAAUUGCUUUUGGAAAAAGGUCCUGCUUCUGCAAUUUCAUUCUGAUCUUCCAACCACUUUCCUUCAUUAUUCUGGAUUCCUUUAACCUUUAGUCUACUUCUUCUUCCUUUAGCCACAAUGUGAGAGAACUUGGUAUUCCUUUCUCCAUCUUUGAACCAUUUUAACCCUGAUUUUUGCUUCCAAAAUUCUUCUUCCCUUAUUAACUAAAUAUUCAACUUAGCUUGUGCUUUAAACAAUAGUUCUCUAUUUGUACCUAAAGAAAGUUCCUCAAACUUUUUCUUCCUUACCUUGAUGAUUUCUUCUAAUAUAGCAAUUUCUUGGAAAAUGUUUCCAAAGCAUUCCUUACUCCACUUUGUCAAUGCAACCUUAACCUUCUUUAUCUUAUGAUGAAGCAUUAUGAAAGGAUUCCCCAUUAGUUCAGUUUCCCAAUUCUUUUUUAUUACAUUAAGACAAAGACUCCUCUUUAAGUCACAUGUUGAGGAAUCUAAAAGGUUUAGAAAUGUGCUCAUCCAUAAUACUAAACUUGAUCUUUAAUGGAGUAUAAUCAGAUCCACUUCUAAAUAAGUGCUCCACUUCCAAUACUAGAAAUAAUUCAUGCAACUUAUCAUUAAACAAAACUCUAUCCAGCCAUUUAAAAAUACAUUUCUUAUUUGUUCUCCCAUUCCACCAUGUAUAUUUACUUUCAUUAAAAUCAGUAUCUUUCAGAUUGCACAUAAUAAUGCAAUGUUUAAAAUCUUUUGUUUCUUAUACAGUGACUGUUAACCCCCCUAAUUUCUCUUUAUCACUAAUGAUAACAUUAAAGUCCCCACGAAUCAAUCAAGGAUCUUGGAUUGUCUGAGAUAUCUCCUUCAGUGACUCCCAUAGUACUAGUCUCUCCACUUGUGAGCAUUUAAUAUAUAUUAAAGUUACUAUAAUCAUAACACCUGUUUCUUGGUUCUCCAAUCUUAAUCAUAGUUACUUUUCUUCAUCCCUUAUCACAAAAAAUCUAACAACAGAGUCCAUGAAAGCACAAAUUUUCCCUAAUAAAUUAGCUGCUGCAUGCUGCACUCUAGCCUCCUCUUAUAUUCUUCAAUAUUGUGGUUAUCUUGAAAUGACUCCAUCAACCCUAUAAAUGAGAAAUGAUAUCUUUUUUGCAAAGUUAUAAACCUUGUAAAUGCCUUUUGAGUAUUCACUGAUCUAAUAUUCCAAAUAAGAGCAUUCAUCUAGCUUUAUUCAUUAAGAAACUUUGAGUCUGCAUUGAGCUAGUUUUAUCUCCUUUAUCUUUCUUUCUUUGAAUGCCUUAGGAUUAUUUUAAUCUAUCCAUCUUCUUAGGAGGAAGAUUUCCUUCAAUGCCUACGUUCUCUAUGUUUUAUCCAAAUCUUCUUCAUUCAAGGUCGCUCUCUCUUCAUUGCUGAAUGCUAUCUGAUUUUCAGCUUGAACUGCUAAAGAUUUUAUAUAUGCGAAGCCUUUCCCGAGUUUGACAGUUGAAAUGGUAAAUCAAUAGAAGACCCGCUGCCCACUCCCUGAUUGCUCAGAUGGCACAUCUCAAAAGGUGAUAAACUAAUCGAAGGUGAUCCAUAUUUUAACGGAUGGAGCACAAAGAGAGUGCGCCCAUACCUUAUCCCCACAGUCCGUGAAAUGAAGCAGCACUAUAUGAAUAAGUUUAAAGCAUUCAUCGACAAACGGAAUGACACAUUCAUCAAUGGCUUAAAGGUUUAUUUGGAGGGUGUGACUAUCAUCACCUCAUCGGAGGAUGGUGAGGACGGGUAUGAUGACCGAGAUUUAGGUGGAAAUGCAGUUUCAAGGCAUGUCACUCGCGGUGUAGAGACAAGUAAGUUGAGUGCAUCGAGAAAGACACAAAUGAUCAGAAAUUUGGAAGAGCACGUGUUUAGGAUUAAGGAGGCGAUGAAGGAUAUUGUUGAUUUUGUGAAAGAAGGGAGGCUAAUAAGAGUAGAAAAAGAGAAACAAAAGAAGAAAAAAGAAAAUAAAGGUGUCCAGAUUCAAAGUCAGCAUUCAUCAGUGAGGGCUGUCCGCGAUGACAGUGACAUUAAAAAGUGUUCCUUGAGGUAGCAUCUUUGGAAUGAGGACUCGAUUAAUGAUGAUGAGGUGUUGAUCCCUGAUGAUAUAGCUAUUGUAGAGAAGGAAAAUCCGGAUGAAGGAGACGAAGAAAAAGAAGAGAAAAAAGGAAGAAGCUAUUUGUGAAAAAAAAUAAAGCUGAUGAAUCAGUUGGUGUAGAGAAUGAUAAUCAUGAUGAAGGCAGGCAGGAAAAAGAAGAUAAAAAUGAAAAAAACUAUUUAUGAAGAAGAUGAAGAAAAAGUAGAAGAUGAAAAA